rnacentral:rRNA from 1 species
UUUGCGGCAUGGGAUGGGGUCGCGUCCUAUCAGCUUGUUGGUGGGGUAACGGCCUACCAAGGCGUUGACGGGUAGCCGGCCUGAGAGGGCGACCGGCCACAUUGGGACUGAGAUACGGCCCAGACUCCUACGGGAGGCAGCAGUGGGGAAUAUUGCACAAUGGGCGCAAGCCUGAUGCAGCGACGCCGCGUGCGGGAUGGAGGCCUUCGGGUUGUAAACCGCUUUUGUUCAAGGGCAAGGCACGGUUUCGGCCGUGUUGAGUGGAUUGUUCGAAUAAGCACCGGCUAACUACGUGCCAGCAGCCGCGGUAAUACGUAGGGUGCAAGCGUUAUCCGGAUUUAUUGGGCGUAAAGGGCUCGUAGGCGGUUCGUCGCGUCCGGUGUGAAAGUCCAUCGCUUAACGGUGGAUCCGCGCCGGGUACGGGCGGGCUYGAGUGCGGUAGGGGAGACUGGAAUUCCCGGUGUA